CCGUGCUAGGUGGGGAGUUAGCGGUGUCCUGUACCCGCAAUCCGCUAUAGCGGGACUUAAUUCCUGAUCUGAGGCUUUUACUUUCUUAAGGCCGGCUUGGGAAAGUGGUGAUGAAGGUUGGGUCCUGCGCAACUCAAAUUUGCUGAACCCCGUCAGGCCCGGGAGGGAGCAGCGGUAGGCAACAGGAGAGUGUGCCGCAGGGAAGCCUGACUGGAGCAAACUGCUCAAGUAUCGCUUGGGAAAGUGAGUCGAGGAUCGGGUGCACGG
rnacentral:SRP_RNA from 1 species